UAAGGUGGUUAUAGCGACGGGGCUCACCUCUAACCAUUCCGAACAGAGUAGUUAAGCCCGUUUGCGCCGAUGGUACUGCUUUACUGUGGAAGAGUAGGUCACCGCCUUUUUU
rnacentral:rRNA from 1 species